rnacentral:misc_RNA from 1 species
GAUGAAGAACGUAGCGAAAUGCGAUAAGUAAUGUGAAUUGCAGAAUUCAGUGAAUCAUCGAAUCUUUGAACGCACCUUGCGCCCUUUGGCUAUUCCGAAGGGCAUGCCUGUUUGAGUAUCGUGAACACCUCAACUCUCAUGGUUUGCCAUGAUGAGCUUGGACUUUGGGGGUUUUGCUGGCCUUUGGUCGGCUCCUCUCAAACGGAUCAGCUUUCCAGUGUUUGGUGGCGUCACGGGUGUGAUAACUAUCUACGCCUGUGGUUUUCUGCCAGAUAACCUUCAGCGAUGGAGGUUCGCUGGGGCUCAUAAAUGUCUCUCUUCAGUCGAGACAGCUUUUUGGACGUUUGAUCUCAAAUCAGGUAGGACUACCCGCUGAACUUAAGCAUAUCAAUAAGCGGAGGA